GACGAACGCUGGCGGCGUGCUUAACACAUGCAAGUCGAACGGAAAGGCCCGGCUUUUGUGGGGUGCUCGAGUGGCGAACGGGGGAGUAACACGUGAGUAACCUGCCCUUGACUUUGGGAUAACUUCAGGAAACUGGGGCUAAUACCGGAUAGGAGCUCCUGCUGCAUGGGGGGGGUUGGAAAGAUUCGGCGGUGGGGGAUGGACUCGCGGCGUAUCAGCUAGUUGGGAGGGUAGGGGCGUACCAAGGCUUUGACGGGUAGCCGACCUGAGAGGGUGAUCGGCCACACUGGAACUGCGACACGGUCCAGACGCCUACGGGAGGCAGCAGUAGGGAAUCUUCCGCAAUGGGCGAAAGCUUGACGGAGCAACGCCGCGUGAGUGAUGAAGGUCUUCGGAUCGGAAAACUCUGUUAUUAGGGAAGAACAAAUGUGUAAGUAACUAUGCACGUCUUGACGGUACCUAAUCAGAAAGCCACGGCUAACUACGUG
rnacentral:rRNA from 1 species